AGAGAGAGAAAACUAGUCAGCUACUGCUGUUCAUACGGCUUUGACUCAGUUUCCUGGCCUGAGCCUCUAACCGCCUACCUUACAGUAGUGCCAUAUAUGCGCUUUGUCGAAGAGUGAUUUCUCUUAUCGGCACCCAGUUACGACCUCUUGAAAGAAAAUUGAGUAGAAUGAUCACCGCACCCCUCCCACAUCCUGUGAUUUCCACAUCCCCUUCUUCCCCCCUCCGUGACAUUCAGGGAGCGAAGCAGAGGAGCCUUAUUAUUGUGCACCUUUGAAAUGCGCCGAAAUCUGAAACAGGAUGACGUAAUGCGUUUGUAUGGUGCGCGUCUUCUCGACAGCCGGGGACGCGAGAGUUACUGGCGAACUCCGACAGUCGGUCUUUUGGCGGCGGUUUGAGAACAGACCUGAUCUCAGGAGGACUAUGUUCUUCUAUGCACAUGUGCCAGUACCAGAGAUUCCCCACUGUCUUUUGCCUCUGUCUUCUACUUUACAGUGCAACAUCCUGACCCGUGUGUGUAUAAGACUGCCUGGUUGCUAUGUUUUUGUGCUACGUGAGGCCAUAUAGGUGCUCAUUGUGUCAUCGGCUGAGCCUGCUAGCCCAGGGAAAGGGUCAACACUUUGCAGAGUUAGGCAGCCAAGACCUGGCUGGGGCUGAAGAGUCCGAACAGCUUCCAGUCCUACUGGGGGAGGAGGGAUGAAACUCAGCAACGCUGCAGUCCAGAAUGUGAUCUCAUGUCAUAUCCUGAGGAGCUAAAUCCUGAGUCAGAAGCUGACUUAUUCAAGAGAAGAGUUGCAGCAGCCUGGAACCUGUCCCGGAAUUGUAAAGCAGCCCCACACCAUUAUACUCCCUCCACCAUGCUUCACAGCUGGGAUAAGGUUUUGGUGUUGGUAUGCGGUGUUUUGUUUUCUCCAAACAACGCUGUAUACAUUUGCCAAAAAGUUAAACUUUUGUCUCAUCUGUCCACAGAACAUUGUUCCAGUAGUGCUGUGGAACAUCCAGGUGGUCUUUUGCAAACUUGAGAUGGACAGCAAUGUUUUUUUUUUUUGGAGUGCAGUGGUUUCCUCUGUGGUAACCUUCCAUGAGCAACACUCUUGUUCAGUGUUUUUCUUAUGGUAGACUCAUGACCACAGAUGUUAUCAAGUGCAAGAGAUGCCUGCAGAUUCUUAGCUUUCACCCUAGGGUUCUUUGUCACCUGUUUGAGGAUUGUACGCUGUGCCCUUGCACUGAACUUUGUAGGAUGCCCACUACUAGGGAUAAUGACAACAGUGCUGAAUCUCUUCCAUUUGCAAGCUAUCUGCCUGACUGUGGACUGAUGGAGGCCCAAGUCUUUAGAAAUCCUUUUGUAACCCUUUCCAGUCUUAUGAGCUUCAACAGCUGUUUUUCUGAGGUCCUCUGAAAUCUCUUUUGAUCAGGCAAUAUUGCACUUCAACAGACUUCCGUUUUGAAAAGCAGGUAACCAUAAUUGUCUGAUUUUUUUUUAUACAGCAGGGCAGGUCAAACCCAGACCUGAAUUGAUUGGAACACGUGACUCAUUAAUUGGAAUACCUGACGCCAAUUACCCUCUUUUCAAGAUGUCAUUACCCUAGAGGGUCACAUACUUUUUCCAUCAAUGACCUUGAUUGUUUAAACCAUUUGUUCGAUAAAGAUA